GCGAAAAGAACCCCGGCGAGGGGAGUGAAAAAGAACCUGAAACCGUGUACGUACAAGCAGUGGGAGCACCUUCGGGUGUGACUGCGUACCUUUUGUAUAAUGGGUCAGCGACUUAUAUUCUGUAGCAAGGUUAACCGUAUAGGGGAGCCGCAGGGAAACCGAGUCUUAACUGGGCGUUAAGUUGCAGGGUAUAGACCCGAAACCCGGUGAUCUAGCCAUGGGCAGGUUGAAGGUUGGGUAACACUAACUGGAGGACCGAACCGACUAAUGUUGAAAAAUUAGCGGAUGACUUGUGGCUGGGGGUGAAAGGCCAAUCAAACCGGGAGAUAGCUGGUUCUCCCCGAAAGCUAUUUAGGUAGCGCCUCGUGAACUCAUCUUCGGGGGUAGAGCACUGUUUCGGCUAGGGGGUCAUCCCGACUUACCAACCCGAUGCAAACUACGAAUACCGAAGAAUGUUAUCACGGGAGACACACGGCGGGUGCUAACGUCCGUCGUGAAGAGGGAAACAACCCAGACCGCCAGCUAAGGUCCCAAAGUCAUGGUUAAGUGGGAAACGAUGUGGGAAGGCACAGACAGCCAGGAUGUUGGCUUAGAAGCAGCCAUCAUUUAAAGAAAGCGUAAUAGCUCACUGGUCGAGUCGGCCUGCGCGGAAGAUGUAACGGGGCUAAACCAUGCACCGAAGCUGCGGCAGCGACACUAUGUGUUGUUGGGUAGGGGAGCGUUCUGUAAGCCUGCGAAGGUGACCUGUGAGGGUUGCUGGAGGUAUCAGAAGUGCGAAUGCUGACAUAAGUAACGAUAAAGCGGGUGAAAAGCCCGCUCGCCGGAAGACCAAGGGUUCCUGUCCAACGUUAAUCGGGGCAGGGUGAGUCGACCCCUAAGGCGAGGCCGAAAGGCGUAGUCGAUGGGAAACAGGUUAAUAUUCCUGUACUUGGUGUUACUGCGAAGGGGGGACGGAGAAGGCUAUGUUAGCCGGGCGACGGUUGUC
rnacentral:rRNA from 1 species